rnacentral:rRNA from 1 species
CCCGCUUGACUUAAGCAUAUCAAUAAGCGGAGGAAAAGAAACCAACAGGGAUUGCCCCAGUAACGGCGAGUGAAGCGGCAACAGCUCAAAUUUGAAAUCUGGCCCCCAGGGUCCGAGUUGUAAUUUGGAGAGGAUGCUUUUGGCGCGGCGCCGUCCGAGUUCCUUGGAACAGGACGCCACAGAGGGUGAGAGCCCCGUACGGACGGACGCCUAGCCUCUACAAAGCUCCUUCGACGAGUCGAGUAGUUUGGGAAUGCUGCUCUAAAUGGGAGGUAAAUUUCUUCUAAAGCUAAAUACUGGCCAGAGACCGAUAGCGCACAAGUAGAGUGAUCGAAAGAUGAAAAGCACUUUGAAAAGAGGGUUAAAAAGUACGUGAAAUUGUUGAAAGGGAAGCGCCUGUGACCAGACUUGCGCCCCGCGGACCAUCCGGCGUUCUUCGCCGGUGCACUCCGCGAGGCGCAGGCCAGCAUCGGUUUUCCUAGGGGGAUAAAGGCCGCGGGAACGUAGCUCCUUCGGGAGUGUUAUAGACCGCGGCGGCAUGCCCCUGGGGGGACCGAGGACCGCGCUUCGGCAAGGAUGCUGGCGUAAUGGUCACCAGCGACCCGUCUUGAAACACGGACCAAGGAGUCAAGCAUUGGGGCGAGUGUAUGGGUGCCAAACCCGCACGCGAAAUGAAAGUAAACGCAGGUGAGAGCUUCGGCGCAUCACCGACCGAUCCUGAUGUCUUCGGAUGGAUUUGAGUAAGAGCCUUACCGCUUGGACCCGAAAGAUGGUGAACUAUGCCUGAAUAGGGUGAAGCCAGAGGAAACUCUGGUGGAGGCUCGCAGCGGUUCUGACGUGCAAAUCGAUCGUCAAAUUUGGGCAUGGGGGCGAAAG